GCCAGUCUCUGCAUAAUAAAAUGAUUAUGAGCCUAAAUUUUACAAGUACCAGUCCGUUGAAUAUAGAAACGUGAUACUCAUGCUUUUCCAUCCUAAACAACAGAACUAUCUGCACUUCGAUUUACAAAUUCAUUGGCUUUUUCCGACAGUGCCCACAACUGUUAGUUGUUACAGGUAAAAAAAGCAGUAUGUGAUAGCGAACUCUCAGGAACGGUCGGGUUAGAAGAGGGAGGCCUAGGUGGAAGCGGGCUCUUCAGGAUUUGGAAUCGAAAACCGAUCUGACGGUGGAGAAUUUUCUUUGGAAGACUUGGGUUUCCGAGGGGGUCUGCGGCCCUUGAUUUCGGCACCGUUAAGGCUAGAAGAAGAAGAAAGUGGUGGAUCGACGAGAUGGGUAUCUCGCAAGACAGAGUUUCUUGGCUGCUUCACGUUAGAGAGGAAGAGCGAAAUUUUGGAGGUAUAGGAAGAGCGAAACGGAAUUUGAGAGAUAGGAAAUCGCAGGGUUUGAGGAAGACGAAGAAGAGAAGGGGAGAUGAGAGGCAGAGUAAACCGAUCGAGAAGAAAAAGGGGAAAGAAAUUUGAAAUAAAAGAGAACGUUGAGGUUGAAGAAGAGGGGAAAGAAAAUUGACCGUUGAGGUUAUUUAAUUUUUGGAUUAAAUAUUUUCUAUGAAAAUUAAAAAAGAAAAAGUUAAAAGGCAAA